rnacentral:rRNA from 1 species
AGCGAACGCUGGCGGCAGGCCUAACACAUGCAAGUCGAACGAACCUUCCGGGAGUAGUGGCGGACGGGGGAGUCGCACGUCGGAACGUUCCUUUAUGUUUGGAAUAACUCAGGGAAACGUGUGCUAAUACCGAAUGUGCCCUGCUGGGGAAAGAUUAAUCGCCUUUAGAGCGGCCGGCGUCUGAUUAGCUAGUUGGUUGAGAUAAUGCCUCACCCAGGCGACGAUCAGUAACUGGUCUGAGAGGAUGAUCACCCACAUUGGGAGUGAGACACGGCUCAAAAUCCUCCGGGAGGGGGCAGAGGGGAAUCUUGCGCAAUGGGCGAAAGUCUGAAGCACCCAUGCCGCGUAAAUGAUGAAGGUCUUGGGAUAGUAAAAUUCUUUUAACGGGGACGAUAAUGACGGUACCCGGAGAAAAAGCCACGGCUAACUUCGUG